rnacentral:rRNA from 1 species
GACGAACGCUGGCGGCGUGCCUAAUACAUGCAAGUAGGACGCAGUUGCGAACGGGUGAGUAACGCGUAGGUAACUACAUAUUAGAGGGGGAUAACUAUUGGAAACGAUAGCUAAUACCGCAUACUAGUAGAAGGACCUGCGUUGUAGUAGCUAGUAGGUAGGGUAAUGGCCUACCUAGGCAACGAUACAUAGCCGACCUGUGCGGGUGAUCCGCUCCACUGGUACUGAGACACGGCCCUGACUCCUGCGGGUGGCAGCAGUAAGGAGUCUUCGGCGAUGGGGGGAACCCUGACCGCGCAACGCCGCGUGAGUGAAGAAGGUUUUCGGAUCGUAAAGCUCUGUUGUUAAGGUAGCGGUACUUAACCAGAAAGGGACGGCUAGCUCCGUGCCAGCAGCCGCGGUAAUAC